rnacentral:rRNA from 1 species
UACGUAGGGACCAAGCGUUGUUCGGAUUUACUGGGCGUAAAGGGCGCGUAGGCGGCGUGUUAAGUCACUUGUGAAAUCUCUAAGCUUAACUUAGAACGGUCAAGUGAUACUGAUGUGCUAGAGUGCAGAAGGGGCAACCGGAAUUCUUGGUGUAGCGGUGAAAUGCGUAGAUAUCAAGUGGAACACCAGUGGCGAAGGCGAGUCCCUGGACAAAACCUGACACUGAGGCACGAAAGCUAGGGGAGCAAACAGG